GGUGACGGCGAGCGCGUGGACCGAGGCGGCCCCAGCUAGCUGGCCAUGAACUCGAAGCAAUCCUCCUGCCUCAGCCUCCUGAGUGAUGGGAUUACAGGCGUGCUCACCAUGCUAGGCUCAGCAUCAAAGAAUUCUUCCACGAAGCUUUCCGUGUUGAGAUUUUUCCCUCCUGGAAAGGGAAUUCUGCCUUGUGAGACAGUUCUUUCCGAUCUUCUCCAGAAGGCUGAUGUUGGUAUUCAUACCAAAUUUAUUUAUGUGUGUAUUUACAGUACUGGGGAUUGAACCCAAGACCAUCACAUUGAGACAGUAUGAAACUUUUUUUUUUGAGACAGUAUGAAACCAUUCUUGCAGUUCAUAGCCUGGAAGGUGCUUUUCCUCUUACCAGAUUGUUUAAAAUAAUAGCUUUAUAUUCUCUCAAGAUAUAUAUAUAUAUUUCCGUAAAAUUUAUGAUUUUUAAAAUGUGCAAUUCAGUAGUCUUAGGAUUCAGAGAAUUGUACAGCUGUCACCUUCACUGCAAUCUAAUUUUAGAAUAUUCAGCCCCCAAAUAAACAAUCUAUUACCAGUCACUCCCCAUGUUCCCCUUCCCACAGCCCCCAGCUCUGCAAAUUUGCCUGUUCUAGAUGUUUCAUGCUAGCAAUCUCACCGGUGGUCUUUUUUGUACCUGGAAUCUUCACUCAGCAUACUACUUGGGAGGCUCCUUCACUGGAGAAUGUAUCAGCACUUACACCUUUUUCAUGGCCAAGUAAUGUUCUAUGGUGUGGGUAGACCAGGUUCUGUUGAUCAGCCGCCUGUGGGUGGACAUUUGGGUGGAGUCCACUUCUUGGCAGUUACAUGGCUGAAUAACACCAAGUGUAAGCAUUCGUGCACAAACUUUUCCAUGAACUAUGCUAAGGAGUGGAAGUGCAGGGUCCUAUGGUAGUUCAGUGUAUUGCAUUUUGAGCACUUGCCUGACUGCUCUCCACUGCUGUCUGAUUCAAGGGUGAAAGAACUGGGCUCAGCUCACAGUGUGCAAAGUUGCAGAGUGAAAGGACGCUCCUCUCACAUGCACUUGGGUUGGAGCACCAUUAUCCCUCGGUAUCCUCGGGGGACUUGGUUCCAGGACCCACCCCUGGUCCCCAGGUGUGAGGGUGUUCUCGUCCCUGUGUAAAAGGCACAGCAUUUGCACACAACCUCGUCUUCCUGCAUGCUUGACAUCGUCUCAG
rnacentral:lncRNA from 1 species